UAAUGUGAUGUAAUUCUUACAAAUUUAAUUCCGUGGAUCCCAUUAGAACUCUACAAUUAAGUGUGAUUGGGAUAGAGUAGUAAUGGGAUCAAUGACCUCCUUGGAAGUCCUCACGUUUUACAUACC
rnacentral:rRNA from 1 species